UUUCGUUUCUUAAGUUCACAAAUGCGACACAAACAACAAUAAACAAGUCGUGCGCCACCUCAAUACAACAUCCUUUUUGGUAUUACGUGCGGAUAAGCUCUGUAACAUGACGUGAACACGGUCUUGAAGCCAGCCAUGAGGCGAUAAACAAAAAUCAAUACGAAUCAAUCGGCUUUGCCAACACCUAAACACACACACAGACGCACAAAUGUUCAAAUGUUUGUUAUGGAUUUUAGAAACGCGAACUAUCAUUCGAACUGUCAGCGACAGGCGCACGUGUCACUCAUCAUUUCGUGGAGCGGCGCAUUUGUUGAAGAUUGAGCUCUCUCUACCUUAUGUAAGCCAAAUCAACAACCUCGCGCCAUAUAAUGCCCACUCAAGCCGAAUGACAAACAAACAACGGCGAAUGAAAAAAAAAAAACGAAUAAACAAAUAAAAUAAAUAGAAUAAAUAUAAUAUAAUAAAAAAUAGGUAUUAUAAAGCGGUGACAGAUCAAGAAAAUUACUAAUACUAAAUCGAAGUAUUGCGUGCAGAGCGGAUUUGAAAAUAUAGGAGCUUUUAAAAAUGCGGCGAGGGCAUACGACAAUAAACGAACUGCAUAAGGCAAUCACCAAAAAGGCGAAAAUGUGAAAAUUAUUUUAAAACCAAAAAUUAAGUUUAAAAAUUCAAAAAAAAAUAUAAGAAUUCGGUUAAGGUUAGUUGGAAUUUGAAGAAAAGCAGUAAAUUCGACAAAUACUUCUAAACUUAUUUCAUAAAUAGCAAAGAGUUCUCGGGUACUCUGGAACGUUCGCGUGAAACUUCAAAAACUAUGUAAUAUCUCAGCAAUAUUAUCGAAAAUUUUAAGUAAAUCUGACAAAUACUUUUCGAGUAUUUCCAUAAUUGCAAAGAGUUCUGGCACGUUCACAAAAGUUUUCUCAAAACUGUGCUUGUUAAACUGGAAACCACCGUAGCUCGAAAAACGCUGGGUAGAUUUCAAUGAAAUUUACAAUAUAGCUUUUUGGAAACUUCAAAACCUAGUGCACCUGAUCGAAGGAUUCAUAUCUUAUAAAAAAUUAAACUUUGGAUUUCUCCCGAAAAUAUGCUUUAAAAAAAUAUUUUUUGUUUUCAAACUUAAGGCAAGUUAAGUGGAAAUCUAAUUUAGUGAUGAUAUGUUUUUACUUUUUCAAAACAAAAUAAUUUGCCGACAAAAAAAAUUUAAAAUGAUAAUUUUUCAUAACUCUGACCACACUUAGCCCAUUAAUAAAUAAAAAAGAAAGUGAAAAAUUCAACGAAAAGAAAAAAUUAUAUAAAAAAGUUUCAAAAUCUUUACCCUACAACCUUAACUGCCCGAUUUUAUGCAGAAGUGUUGCACAUGUUCCAAACACGAAGCGUGUAAAAAUCGCAAACGAGAUAAACCGACAGACAAAAGCAAUGCAAAAACAAACUCUAGAAUAAAAAACACUAAAAAAAAUAUAUAAAAAAAAUUUUAGGUGAAAGAAUGCAGUGCAUAGAAUUGAAAAUUCGAAAUGUAUUUUUAGCCGAUGCUGGAGUCAAAUUCUCGCCCAACUCUCUAUAUAUGCAUGAAGGCAAAUGCCAGAACACCACGACGCGACAGUUGCCGACCAGUGAGCGCUGCACACAUGAAAAUACACAUAGUAAAAGUAAAACAAUAAAAAACUGAAAACGUAAA